rnacentral:rRNA from 1 species
UNGGCGGCGUGGUUAAGACAUGCAAGUCGAACGAGAGAAUUGCUAGCUUGCUAAUAAUUCUCUAGUGGCGCACGGGUGAGUAACACGUGAGUAACCUGCCCCCGAGAGCGGGAUAGCCCUGGGAAACUGGGAUUAAUACCGCAUAGUAUCGAAAGAUUAAAGCAGCAAUGCGCUUGGGGAUGGGCUCGCGGCCUAUUAGUUAGUUGGUGAGGUAACGGCUCACCAAGGCGAUGACGGGUAGCCGGUCUGAGAGGAUGUCCGGCCACACUGGAACCGAGACACGGUCCAGACACCUACGGGUGGCAGCAGUCGAGAAUCAUUCACAAUGGGGGAAACCCUGAUGGUGCGACGCCGCGUGGGGGAAUGAAGGUCUUCGGAUUGUAAACCCCUGUCAUGUGGGAGCAAAUUAAAAAGAUAGUACCACAAGAGGAAGAGACGGCUAACUCUGUACCAGCAGCCGCGGUAAUACAGAGGUCUCAAGCGUUGUUCGGAAUCACUGGGCGUAAAGCGUGCGUAGGCUGUUUCGUAAGUCGUGUGUGAAAGGCGCGGGCUCAACCCGCGGACGGCACAUGAUACUGCGAGACUAGAGUAAUGGAGGGGGAACCGGAAUUCACGGUGUAGCAAAUCACUAGUGAAUUC